rnacentral:rRNA from 1 species
AUACGUAUGGGGCAAGCGUUGUUCGGAUUCAUUGGGCGUAAAGGGCACGCAGGCGGAUUGUUAAGUUGGAUGUAUAAUCUUCGGGCUCAACCCGGAGUCUGCAUCCAAAACUGGCAAUCUAGAGUACCAGAGGGGAAAGCGGAAUUCUCGGUGUAGCGGUGGAAUGCGUAGAUAUCGAGAGGAACACCAGUGGCGAAGGCGGCUUUCUGGCUGGUUACUGACGCUCAGUGCGAAAGCGUGGGGAGCAAACAGGAUUAGAUACCCUAGUAGUCC